AUUGAACGCUGGCGGCAGGCCUAACACAUGCAAGUCGAGCGGAGCGGCGGACGGGUGAGUAAUGCCUAGGAAUCUGCCUGGUAGUGGGGGAUAACGUCAGGAAACGGGCGCUAAUACCGCAUACUAUCAGAUGAGCCUAGGUCGGAUUAGCUAGUUGGGGGGGUAAAGGCCUACCAGGGCGACGAUCCGUAACUGGUCUGAGAGGAUGAUCAGUCAAACGGGAACUGAGACACGGUCGAGAUCCCGACGGGAGGAAGCAGUGGGGAAUAUUGGACAAUGGGCGAAAGACGGAUCCAGCCAUGCAGCGUGUGUGAAGAAGGUCUUCGGAUUGUAAAGCACUUGAAGUUGGGAGGCGUUACCAACAGAAUAAGCACCGGCUAACUUCGUGCCAGCAGCCGCGGUAAUUC
rnacentral:rRNA from 1 species